ACUCCAUAAAGUCAAUUUAAGGCAUCUUUUAUUGAUUAAAGCUCCGGCGGUUAGAGAUGGGCAUGCGUGUCAUUAGCUAGUUGGUGAGGUAACGGCUCACCAAGGCCACGAUGACUAGGGGGUCUGAGAGGAUGAUCCCCCACACUGGUACUGAGACACGGACCAGACUCCUAGCGGGAGGCAGCAGUGAGGAAUAUUGGGCAAUGGACGCAAGUCUGACCCAGUCAUGCCGCGUGCAGGAUGACUGCCCUAUGGGUUGUAAACUGCUUUUGUUUGGGAGGAAACCCCCGAUCGUGAUCGGGGCUGACGGUACCAUACGAAUAAGCAUCGGCUAACUCCGUGCCAGCAGCCGCGGUAAUACGGAGGAUGCAAGCGUUAUCCGGAUUCAUUGGGUUUAAAGGGUGCGCAGGCGGAAUAUUAAGUCAGUGGUGAAAUCCUGCAGCUUAACUGUAGAACUGCCAUUGAUACUGAUAUUCUUGAAUAUAGUUGAGGUGGGCGGAAUGUGUAAUGUAGCGGUGAAAUGCUUAGAUAUUACACAGAACACCAAUUGCGAAGGCAGCUCACUAAACUAAUAUUGACGCUGAGGCACGAAAGCGUGGGUAGCAAACAGGAUUAGAUACCCUGGUAGUCCACGCUGUAAACUAUGAUCACUCGCUGUUGGCAAUACAUCGUCAGCGGCUGAGCGAAAGCAUUAAGUGAUCCACCUGGGGAGUACGGUCGCAAGAUUGAAACUCAAAGGAAUUGACGGGGGCCCGCACAAGCGGAGGAACAUGGGGUUUAAUUCGAUGAUACGCGAGGAACCUUACCUGGGCUUAAAUGCAGAGCGACGUCCGCCGAAAGGUGGAUUCCUUCGGGCGAUCUGCAAGGUGCUGCAUGGUUGUCGUCAGCUCGUGCCGUGAGGUGUCGGGUUAAGUCCCAUAACGAGCGCAACCCUUAUCGUUAGUUGCCAGCGGGUAAUGCCGGGGACUCUAACGCCCACUGCCGGUGUAAACCGUGAGGAAGGUGGGGAUGACGUCAAAUCAGCACGGCCCUUAUGUCCAGGGCUACACACGUGUUACAAUGGUCGGUACAGAGGGCAGCUACCACGCAAGUGGAUGCUAAUCUCGAAAACCGGUCUCAGUUCGGAUUGAAGUCUGCAACUCGACUUCAUGAAGCUGGAUUCGCUAGU
rnacentral:rRNA from 1 species